rnacentral:rRNA from 1 species
AGCGAACGCUGGCGGCAGGCCUAACACAUGCAAGUCGAACGGAUCCUUCGGGAUUAGUGGCGGACGGGUGAGUAACACGUGGGAACGUGCCCUUUGGUUCGGAACAACUCAGGGAAACUUGAGCUAAUACCGGAUGUGCCCUUCGGGGGAAAGAUUUAUCGCCAUUGGAGCGGCCCGCGUCUGAUUAGCUAGUUGGUGGGGUAAAGGCCCACCAAGGCGACGAUCAGUAGCUGGUCUGAGAGGAUGAUCAGCCACAUUGGGACUGAGACACGGCCCAAACUCCUACGGGAGGCAGCAGUGGGGAAUCUUGCGCAAUGGGCGAAAGCCUGACGCAGCCAUGCCGCGUGAAUGAUGAAGGUCUUAGGAUUGUAAGCUCUUUCACCGGAGAAGAUAAUGACGGUAUCCGGAGAAGAAGCCCCGGCUAACUUCGUGCCAGCCGCCGCAGUAAUAC